rnacentral:misc_RNA from 1 species
CUUUUUUUUUUUUUUUCCCCCUUUCCUGCUCUGCUUUUCAUCCAUCUUCUGCUCUGCUCUUCUACUCACAUUAUGGUUUCCUUUUUUUCUAAAUUUCUUAAUUUAUUUACUAUUUACUGUGAGAGAAUGAUGAGAUGUUGUUCCUCUAAAUUUCUUUUAUUAGUUUUAUGGGUUAAAUUUCUUAUUAAUUUUUAGUUUUAUAUUUGAUUAAAUUGGGUUGUAUCUUGUAUGUUGCUAUCAUAAAUUAUUAGUUUGUGUCACAAUAAUUGGAUUAUGUUAUUGUUUCUGUAAAUUGGGUUUAUGUUAUUAUAAAUUAUUAAUUUCCUUGUCUCUAGUUUACUAGAAUUUACCAGUUUAUUAAAUUUUAACUUUUUGUAGUUUAUUAGUGUCUUUAACUU